GAGAAGUGCAAAGCUGCAGUCAUAUUCUACAGUGAAGGGAGAGUUUUCUGCAGUGGUACACAUGCAAAGUGGGUCAGGAUCAAAGUGCAUGAGCUGCAGAAGAAAGGUACACCAUGUUUGGACUCGAGGAAUAAUGUCACUACUGUGAACAUGUAAAGGAGGUUUUUGUUUGCCUCUUUGUGUGUUUGCUUGUAAUCUCAAGUAUCACAGUGACAGAUUGACGCUGGUUUAGCGUCCAGAUUAUUAGCCGUAGAGAUUACUUGCACCUUCAGGGUCUGCACCUGCACUGAGUUUACGGAGGCUGCUUUGACUUUCAGGAUUUAUUUGAAUUCAUUUUUACAUUUUUACUAUUUUUACUAUUUAUGUGGUCUUAUA